AUUAAAGAGAGAUUUGGUGGGAGAGUGAAAGGUUAGGGAGGAUCCCAGCAUGGGAACACCAAUUUGGGGGGGGGGUAUAGAGACUGAAGAAGAGGGACUUUUUUCAAGUUUCUUUCUAACACAACAUACAGCCACUGUAAUGGUUCCAUGGAUAUUAUAAGCGCUAUUGAAUAAUCCCCUGUAUUAUAACCAAAUUCAAUGAUGAAAUCUCAUAGAGAGAACUGGGUUACAGGUGAAAGGAGCUGGUUGUGGAGUUUUGGCUCCUUCUUUUCUCCACCGAGUGAUUGAAGCGUAUAUUAAUGAUUAUAGGCAUCAUUUUAAGCCGAUUGGGCAUCCUGGGGAGCGAGGAAUAGGACUAAGGAACCCCGAUGGGACAUCUGCUGGCUUCAGACCCAGUAGCACAUUGGCCUGGUAACUCUCAAAGAGCAGACCGACCAAGAAAUUAGCAACGAGGUUGGGAAAGAAAACAAGAAAUGAGGUAACGAUGAUGUAGAAAAUAAACUACCGUUGACGUCUUCCGUUCUGAGUCAAGAAGGCAGCCAUGUUUUUUUUCACCCCUCCACCCCUGUUGGGGAUAUUGGCACGUUGUCAUGACGACAGGGAUGUUCUGCUGAUGAAGUCUCGCUCCUCGUUGUCCAAUCAGAUCGUGGAGUCUAAAACUGCAGUAUGAAACAGGAGAGGACGCACCUAUUCCAAUUGCACAAUGCCGAGAAGGACAGCCCGAUCCUGGACCACCUACGGGCGAAAUGGACGAUUUGUGGGAGGCAGUCAACGGAGCCGCCAUGGUUCAACAAAGCACAACCCAGCGGGGGACGAGGAUGAAGGGCUGCCAGGCUAUGGCACAAAGGACCACUCUAAUGUUGACCCAUGGAAAGGAGCUGUCAGGAGAUUGGAAGCGGUCUAGUGUGGGCCAAUGGGAAUGGGAUCUGUCUGGAGAGGCUUGUCAAGGAACCAGGCUUGCGUCUGGAUGGCAAUGGGACAAGGGGACAUCUGGACCAGUCGAAUACUGACUUUUUCUGUCCAGACCAACACCAGUCAUCUUAAAAGUGAGAGGCAUGAAGAUGUGAUGUUCUGCCUUCAGUGUCCUCCAUUUAGUUUAUUAUCUCACUGCCCAAUCACCCUCAUCGCCCUGCUCCAGGACUCAUUAUCAAGAGCAUGACUUGGCAUGUUGUAAUGUGUAUUGUCAACGUGUUGAUGUGUCGUGAGUGUUGUUGUUCAUAUUCAGCUCAUUAUUGGCUUGGAAAGUUGAGUUUUUUUCAGUUUUGUUCUUCAUGCGAACCUUUAUUUUCAUUUCAUUUUCAUCCUUCUAACCAAUUUUGUCAGUGAAUGUUACUUUGUGCGGGCUAUUCUUUGAAGUUGGUUUAAUUCUCUGUCAUUGGUAGACCCCGGGCCCUGUGUGCAAAGUCCACAGUCCUCCAGGGUUGAACAUCCCCUCUCAGCUGUGUAGGAGGUCGACAUUCUGACGUCUCCACACUGCAAACUAGGCCUGAGCCUCUGAGGAUUUGGCACUGGGUGCGUGUAACAGGUGUGAGGGCGGGUGCGAGGUGUGGAG
ensembl:lncRNA